CAGAUAAGUUGAACUCUAUGAGCAUGACACGUGUCACAAGAGAACAAAACGCUUAACUUCAUUUAGUCCCAAAUCUGAUUUUAUCGUGUUACGCUUCACCUCUUUUUAAAUCACCUCAUUCAUAAUGUUAUCGUCUCUUCCUUUUCCCAUUCCCUGAAACUAAACGUCUCCAUUAACGGAUAUUCUUCUGUUCAUGCUAUAAAGCUUAUCAACAACACCGCUCUUUUCACCACCUUGCUCAAUCCGCCGCCAUUGCCCCUACAGUCUCCGAUCUACCACAAAUGGUAAACCUAGCGUCGUCCUCCAGGUUUCGAACCCUUUCGGUAUAAAAGUUUCAGACUUUCAUCUCCAAUCUGACCCUCCAAGUCAGAGUCUCGAUGGGUUCUAUAGCCGGAUUCGCGGUUAAAAUUUACGCUGCUUCGGUAAUGUAUUAGCGAUAGGUAAGCCUCGGAUGUCUCCGGAGAUUUUCGAAGCUUUGAGUGCUAGAGGAAUUCAGAAACUCUUUCCUAUUCAGAGUUGUGCUUGAGCCAAAAAUACAAGGCCGUGCUAGGACGUGAACUAGAAAGACUCUUGCUUUUGAGAUUCAUGUCAUUGACAGAAUCAAAAAGAUCUACUCUAAACACGGGUUUGUCAAUCCUAAGAUUGUAUUUGCAUAUUUGAGGACUCAAAUAUUCACACUUUUUAUGGUUUUUGUGUAGAUUUGAUGUGUGAAAAGCUUGGGAAGAACCUUAUUUGUUUGGUUUUGGCUCCGACAAGAGAGUUUGCUGGUUAUGUUGAGAACGAAUUCAGAGAAGCUCUGUCUCUCGGUGAUGCACUAAACAGAGGAUUGAGCAACUGUCUGGAUACAUCAACAGCAGGUGCAGAUACAUGUCAGUGGAACACCGCUUCUGCAGUCUGUUCUUUGUCAAAGUGAAGCACGGACAAUCGUAUCCUGAUUGCUGAAGCAAGAGCAAUCCCUGUUGGGAAUCCUCUCUAUAUAUGAAAUUACGAAGAGCUGAUAUUUUUUUCUGGUGCAGUCACUUCGAUAGUUCAAGUUAGAGCGGGAACCAUGGAAGCAAGAGAAAACGCAGCAAUGACACUCUUUACACUUACGGUAGCCGGUGUAAACAAGAUCAUAAACGGCAGUGUGAUACUUGCUUAACUGGACCUUCUCGAUCACGGGUCCCCAAAAGAGAAGAAUGAUGCAGUGAUAGCAUUGUUCGAGCUGCUGCAGUGGUUAAGAUACCAAGUGUUGAUGAAGCUUGAACACGAUGUUGUUGUGCGAUUGGUGGAUCCAUCGAAGAACGGAACAUAGAAAGGGAAAAGGUAAGCUACGUCUUCGUCAGUGUUUCUGCACAUCAUGCCAAUUGUUUAUUAUGUUAAUAUUUUUUUCAGUCAAUUUUGUCUUUGGAUAGUAAUUCCAUUUGUGGAAUCAAAUCUGGAGUUAGUCAGCCAAAAGUGCUUUCCAGAAUCGCACUAUUUAGCUUGCUAUGUAUGUAUUUUCAUAUUUUGUUAUAUUUAUAACAGAAUGAAGGAGAAUAGUUUUGAA